GACGAACGCUGGCGGCGUGCUUAACACAUGCAAGUCGAACGGAAAGGCCCUGCUUUUGUGGGGUGCUCGAGUGGCGAACGGGUGAGUAACACGUGAGUAACCUGCCCUUGACUUUGGGAUAACUUCAGGAAACUGGGGCUAAUACCGGAUAGGAGCUCCUGCUGCAUGGUGGGGGUUGGAAAGUUUCGGCGGUUGGGGCUGGUCUCGCGGCUUAUCAGCUUGUUGGUGGGGUAGUGGCUGACCAAGGCUUUGACGGGUAGCCGACCUGAUAGGGUGACCGGCCACAUUGGGACUGCGAGACGGCCCAGACUCCUACGGGAGGCAGCAGUGGGGAAUAUUGCACAAUGGGCGGAAGCCUGAUGCAGCAACGCCGCGUGCGGGAUGACGGCCUUCGGGUUGUAAACCGCUUUCGCCUGUGACGAAGCGUGAGUGACGGUAAUGGGUAAAGAAGCACCGGCUAACUACGUG
rnacentral:rRNA from 1 species